GACGAACGCUGGCGGCAUGCCUAAUACAUGCAAGUCGAGCGGACUAUCUGAGAAGCUUGCUUCUCAGAUAGUUAGCGGCGGACGGGUGAGUAACACGUAGGCAACCUGCCCUCAAGCUUGGGACAACUACCGGAAACGGUAGCUAAUACCGAAUACUUCUUUUCUUCGCCUGAAGGGAACUGGAAAGACGGAGCAAUCUGUCACUUGGGGAUGGCCCUGCGGCGCAGUAGCUAGUUGGUGAGGUAACGGCUCACCAAGGCGACGAUGCGUAGCAGACCUGAGAGGGUGAUCGGCCACACUGGGACUGAGACACGGCCCAGACUCCUACGGGAGGCAGCAGUAGGGAAUCUUCCGCAAUGGGCGAAAGCCUGACGGAGCAAUGCCGCGUGAGUGAUGAAGGUUUUCGGAUCGUAAAGCUCUGUUGCCAGGGAAGAACGCUUGGGAGAGUAACUGCUCUCAAGGUGACGGUACCUGAGAAGAAAGCCCCGGCUAACUACGUGCCAGCCGCCGCCGUAA
rnacentral:rRNA from 1 species